AUACGGAGGAUCCGAGCGUUAUCCGGAUUUAUUGGGUUUAAAGGGUGCGCAGGCGGCCAUUUAAGUCAGCGGUUAAAUCGUGGGACUCAACCCCAUUCUGCCGUUGAUACUGGGUGGCUUGAUUGCGGUCGAGGUUGGCGGAAUUCGUUGUGUAGCGGUGAAAUGCAUAGAUAUGACGAAGAACACCGAUUGCGUAGGCAGCUGACCAGACCGCAAAUGACGCUCAUGCACGAAAGUGCGGGGAUCGAACAGGAUUAGAUACCCUGGUAGUCCGCACAGUAAACGAUGAAUACUUGUUUUCGGCGAUAUAAUGUCGGAGGCAAAGCGAAAGCGAUAAGUAUUCCACCUGGGGAGUACGCCGGCAACGGUGAAACUCAAAUGAAUUGACGGGG
rnacentral:rRNA from 1 species